rnacentral:rRNA from 1 species
CUACGGGUGGCUGCAGUUAGGAAUAAUCUACAAUGCGCGCAAGCGUGAUAGUUUGAGCCAGAGUGCGUUUCAUUUGAAACGCUUUUGUGAAAUGUAAAAAGUUUCACGAAUAAGGACUGGGUAAGACUAGUGCCAGCCGCCGCGGUAAUACUAGCGGUCCAAGUCGCAGCCAUUUUUAUUGGGUCUAAAACAUCCGUAGCUUGCCAAAUAAGUUUCUUGUGAAAUUUUAUGUCUCAAACAUGAAGCGUGCAAGAAGUACUGUUUGGCUAGAGACUGGUAGGCGUGAGAAGUAUGUUCAGAGUAGCGGUAAAAUGUGUUAAUCCUGGACAGACUAACAAUAGCGAAGGCAUCUCACGAGAACAGUUCUGACAGUAAGGGAUGAAGGCCAGGGGCGCAAAACGGAUUAGAUACCCCAGUAGUC